rnacentral:rRNA from 1 species
UCGAACGAACUCUGGUAUUGAUUGGUGCUUGCAUCAUGAUUUACAUUUGAGUGAGUGGCGAACUGGUGAGUAACACGUGGGAAACCUGCCCAGAAGCGGGGGAUAACACCUGGAAACAGAUGCUAAUACCGCAUAACAACUUGGACCGCAUGGUCCGAGCUUGAAAGAUGGCUUCGGCUAUCACUUUUGGAUGGUCCCGCGGCGUAUUAGCUAGAUGGUGGGGUAACGGCUCACCAUGGCAAUGAUACGUAGCCGACCUGAGAGGGUAAUCGGCCACAUUGGGACUGAGACACGGCCCAAACUCCUACGGGAGGCAGCAGUAGGGAAUCUUCCACAAUGGACGAAAGUCUGAUGGAGCAACGCCGCGUGAGUGAAGAAGGGUUUCGGCUCGUAAAACUCUGUUGUUAAAGAAGAACAUAUCUGAGAGUAACUGUUCAGGUAUUGACGGUAUUUAACCAGAAAGCCACGGCUAACUACGUGCCAGCAGCCGCGGUAAUACGUAGGUGGCAAGCGUUGUCCGGAUUUAUUGGGCGUAAAGCGAGCGCAGGCGGUUUUUUAAGUCUGAUGUGAA